GCAGUCGUUGCCCGUGGAUACAACAGGGGGAGCUUCAAAGCGGUUGUUUACAGUUGAGAGCGGCAGUCUGACUGGAGGACUCUGACUGGACGGAGGCAUCGGCGAAUUUCCUGCAGAUGGGCUAAAGGCGAACCAUCUGGGAAGCGCAUGGACAGUAGUUAUCACCAGCGCACCUAAAGAAAAAAAAAGCAAACUCCAGCUUCUCUUGUAGAUGCUCACCGGCCGCUAAUAGAAUCACUGGGUUCUUUUCCUUACGACUGGUGCGCAUCUUGUCUGGGUUGCUUUAGGACAACAGCAGGAUCUUACAUUUCACCUCUUAACAACUGACAAGCUUUUUGUCGGACCAAACGCACUGGGCGAGAUGGAUAACGAAAAGUACUUGCCAGAACUGAUGGCGGAGAAGGAUUCUCUGGACCCGUCCUUCCAGCACUCAUUGCGGCUUCUUGAUCAAGAAAUAGAAAAGGUUCAGAAGGAUGAAGACAAAGAGGAUGAGAAGUUCAUCGAUGUGGUCAUCAACAAGAACAUGAAACUGGGACAGAAGGUUUUGAUCCCUGUAAAACAGUUUCCCAAAUUUAAUUUCGUGGGUAAACUCCUGGGCCCUCGAGGGAACUCAUUAAAGAGACUGCAAGAGGACACGCUGACCAAGAUGUCCAUCCUCGGCAAGGGAUCCAUGAGAGACAAAGAAAAGGAAGAAGAACUGCGAAAGAGCGGAGAAGCAAAGUAUCAUCACCUUAACGAAGAUCUCCAUGUGCUGAUCGAGGUGUUCGCACCGCCUGCCGAAGCGUAUGCCAGAAUGGGUCACGCUCUGGAGGAGAUCAAAAAAUUCCUUAUUCCGGACUACAAUGAUGAGAUCAGACAGGCUCAGCUACAGGAGCUGACGUAUCUGAACGGCGGCUCGGAGGACGCCAAAGUCCCAGCGGCCAGGGGCAAAAGCAGCACGCGAGCCAGAGGAACGCCAGCGCCGGGAGCGCCCAGAUGUAGAGGGGGCGUUCCUCCCCCCCAGGCUGCAGUCCCACGGGGGGUGGCGCCCAGAGGAGCUCCGCCCAGCAGGGUUCCAUCCAGCAGAGUAAGGGGCGUUCCCUCACAGAGAGCACGAGGAGCUCCGCCCCCUCCUGGGUACAGACCUCCCCCUCCGGUGGUGCAGGAUACAUACGGUGAAUAUGAAUACGAUGAUGGAUAUGGAACAGCCUACGAUGACCAGGGAUAUGACUCAUAUGACAACAACUACAACAAUCAGGCACCAAACUCAGAUGAUUAUUAUGAAUACAGCCAUGGUAUCAGCGGAGAAGCAUAUGACUCUUACGGCCCGGAGGAAUGGACAAACAACCGCAACAAGGCGCCACCAGCAAGGACAAGCAAAGGAGUGUACAGAGAGCAGCCGUACUCCCGGUUCUGACCUGCUACAGUCCUUCAUGUGCCCUCCCAAGUAAUGGAUUUUCUAUGGACUCUAUUUCCUUUUUUGCAAAUAAAAUCAACCAAAACGACAAAAAUAGCUGAUGGGUAAAAUUUUAAGAUUCUGUGGAACUGAUUCUGUUGUAACCCGGACGACCCCAACAAACGGAACAUUACGGAUCACUGGAUUAUGUAGAUUAAAAUCAGAGAACCAAUCGGAAUUCAAAUAGACCUACUUAUGGCGGAGGGAGGCGGGCACUAGCGGUUCAGGGGCGGAGUUAUAAGAGGUGUACGAUGUUUAGAUUUAGCAGGUCAGUUUUUGUAGAUACUUUUUUUUUGAUGGGUGAUCAGCUUCAAUGUGUCCCUUGUAAAUUCUACCUUUAACUAGACAGAAAAAAAAGUAAAAGAAGAUCUCAGUGCACAUGUUGUUUUCUUUCCUUUCUCUUUUCUAAAUGGAAAGUUCUUCAGCGUUAAAGGGCUUAUAGGAGCAUGUCGUGAAGAAAAAAAAAAAAAAUAAUAACUGUGUGCAGUUUCAGUUGCGAUAAGAAAAGCCUGCGUAGUUUUGUCUGGUUUUUGUGUUGAGCGUUUAAACCCUUUAAUGAGCUCUGUGGUAAUAGGUGUUUUCUUCUAGUGAGCGAUCUACUUUUAGACCUUCCGAGGAGCGUCUGAAUCGACAUUUUUGGGCAAUUAACCUGACUGACUAAAAUUCCCAAUUCAAUUUCACAGAGAGAUUCCUGACAUCUAGAAGUUACUCCUGCACACUUUCCUGUGCAUUUCCAAUGCAUUAUAGCCCACAAAAGCCACUAACGUUGGCUUUCCGUUAGUAUCUUGCAUAGCAUGGAUGGGGUAUAAGUAGCACCAGAGCAUUUAAAAAUUGCAGGAAAGACUAAAACGAAGCAUUGCGAUAGUCAAAGACAUUUACGGGGAAUCGCUUGUCCUUGAAAACAACUUGUAAUGCAUUUUAAGUGCACAGCAAAGUCAUUGCUAAACCAAAUACUGUUGACUAAAGUUUAACUAGUACUGUUUUAUAAAACUAUUCCAAGUCUAAUCAAAUGUAUGCUGAAGUUUCAAAAGUGAUAGUAUUGAAAAUUAUUGUGGUACUGGUGGUGGCAGUUUUAAUACUUUUCUGUUAAGAGCUAUAAUCUUUGUAAGCUUGUGUAAGCCCUUUAAUUCUCGUCUCAGUUGAUUCUAAAAUAAACUUUUUGAAAGAAAAAACCUCGUUGUGUUUGAGAGCACAUUUUGUCCUUGUUUACUUUGGUAAAACUUCAUAAUCUAAACUAACAUCUGCUGUGUAUUAUCAUCCAAAGUGUAGUGUACAGUAUCUUAUGAUGAGAUGAAAAACCCUUUAAGCCCACAUAAAAGUGAAAAAUAAACCAAAACCAAUAUUUGUCCGCCCUGACUUUCUAGUAUUUCUUUCAAAAAUGAAUCUGAUGCACGACAGUAGAGUUAAACGUAAUUGCGAGCGGCACAAUUAAAUGUAUGUGUAAUAUACUGUACCCAGCAGCUUGAAAUAAAUGUGCAAUUCUAAACCUACCUUAUUAUCUGUGAUAAUGCCUUCUACUUGAAAACACACGAGACACUUCUGAAGUUAAUUAUCCACUAAUAUAUCUUUAACUUCUAUAACUUUGCUAGAUUCUAGAGAUACGGUAGUGUUGCAGAUGGAAAUUAACUCCACAUACAGUCAAUAUUGUGGGUGGUUUUUUGACCUUGGUUCUUUUUGGGGAUUUCUGCUUGCUGUUUUUGCUCUUUCUUCCCCCUUCCGGUCACAUGACCGUCUCUAUAGUCCACUAAACAGCCCGCCCCCACAUGACCUCUAAAUGACCCCAGCUGACCUCAGAGCUGAUGAGGAUGGCGGUAGCUGUAUUUACAGGCCUUCGUUCUACAAGAUUGCGAUAGAUGGGCCCGAAGCCAUGAAACGCCACUGAUGCUCUUCUCAGAUUGGUUGAGGGAGGACUGGCUGCAUCAUCUGAUCUUGAAGACUAAAACUGCACAGACGCUGGCAUAGAGAGCUUGUGCUCAGCCAGAAAAACACUAUGAGCGGACCUAAGAAGUCCCUCGCGGCCCACAGAGGAGCACGCCGCUCCACGGGGAAGACUCAAUUUCUACUGGAACUUUCUGGAAAAGGCUUCUGAACCUCUGCGAGGUCACAAAGCGCCACACUAAGAGCGUUAAUGUGCCAAUAACGGGCAGAUGAGCGGUCCACCCUUCUCUCUGCGGUCCUCAAGGGAGACGUGCUGCUUUCACAGCUGCCUCAGACGCGCUAUAUAGGCUCCUACAUGCAUUUUGCAGCAGGCUGCACUGAGGGUGAACCCACUUCUGUCUACACACAGACUUAUGGGUAAUGGGGCCAUGUGUCAUGUGCUAACACAUUAAGACGGGUUUUACUCUUCUAACAGGAGCCGGAGAGAGAAAGACAGUCGGCGAUAUGUGAGUGGGAAAGACAGAGUGAAAUACGAAAGCUAGAUCCAUCACACAAAAAUGAACAUGAAAUAGAUAGAAUGCACUUGUGAUAAGUUCAUUAUGAGGAUGUUGAAUGAAUUCAUCCUAAUAAAGGAACUUUAAUCACAGCGUCUGGCUUCCCAUUAGCUCAGUGUGUCAGAUUUAACAGGGAUCAACUAUAGGGUUUAGCAGGUUUUUCCUGCUAGUCCAGUCAGGUCAGUUUUUAAAAUUCAUAUUGAUUUAUACUUUAUUCAUUUCCUUAAUUUAAUUUAUUGGUUAUUUUUUAUUAUUACAUUUUUAUUAUUAUAUAUUGUUUUUAUUUUUUCACACACACAUGAAAAAAUAUUUUUUGU